UACGAAGGGGGGCUAGCGUUGCUCGGAAUUACUGGGCGUAAAGGGCGCGUAGGCGGCACUGUUAGUCAGGCGUGAAAGUCCUGGGCUCAACCUGGGAACUGCGCUUGAUACGGCAGAGCUAGAGGAUGGAAGAGGGUCGCGGAAUUCCCAGUGUAGAGGUGAAAUUCGUAGAUAUUGGGAAGAACACCGGUGGCGAAGGCGGCGACCUGGUCCAUUACUGACGGCUGAGGCGCGACAGCGUGGGGAGCAAACAGG
rnacentral:rRNA from 1 species